rnacentral:tRNA from 2 species
GUUUUUGUAGUUGAAGAACAACGGUGGUUUUUCAAGCCAUUAGUCCUGGUUAGAAUCCUGGCAGAAACU